GAUGCGUAGCCGUAGCGGCGAAAUCCAUGAUCCUAUGCUGCCGAGAAAAGCCUCUAGCGAGCUGGUACAUGGCCCGUACCCCAAACCGACACAGGUGGUCAGGUAGAGAAUACUAAGGCGAUCGAGAGAACUGUGGUUAAGGAACUCGGCAAAAUGCCCCCGUAACUUCGGGAGAAGGGGGACCAGUCCUGGUGACGACAUUUACUGUCUGAGCUGGGGUUGGUCGCAGAGACCAGAGAGAAGCGACUGUUUACUGAAAACACAGGUCCGUGCGAAGUCGUAAGACGAUGUAUACGGACUGACGCCUCCCCGGUGCUGGAAGGUUAAGAGGACCGGUCAGCCACUUCGGUGGCGAAGCUGAGAAUUUAAGCCCCAGUAAACGGCGGUGGUAACUAUAACCAUCCUAAGGUAGCGAAAUUCCUUGUCGGGUAAGUUCCGACCUGCACGAAUGGCGUAACGACUUCUCUGCUGUCUCAACCACAGACUCGCGAAAUUGCAGUACGAGUAAAGAUGCUCGUUACGCGCGGCAGGACGAAAAGACCCCGGGACCUUCACUAUAGCUUGGUAUUGGUGUUCGGUUCGGUUUGUGUAGGAUAGGUGGGAGACUGUGAAACUCGCACGCCAGUGUGGGUGGAGUCAUUGUUGAAAUACCACUCUGACCGUAUUGGACAUCUAACCUCGGACCAUGAUCUGGUUCAGGGACAGUGCCUGGUGGGUAGUUUAACUGGGGCGGUUGCCUCCUAAAAAGUAACGGAGGCGCCCAAAGGUUCCCUCAGCCUGGUUGGCAAUCAGGUGUUGAGUGUAAGUGCACAAGGGAGCUUGACUGUGAGACGUACAUGUCGAGCAGGGACGAAAGUCGGGACUAGUGAUCCGGCACCGGCAAGUGGAAGCGGUGUCGCUCAACGGAUGAAAGGUACCCCGGGGAUAACAGGCUGAUCUUCCCCAAGAGUCCAUAUCGACGGGAUGGUUUGGCACCUCGAUGUCGGCUCGUCGCAUCCUGGGGCUGGAGUAGGUCCCAAGGGUUGGGCUGUUCGCCCAUUAAAGCGGCACGCGAGCUGGGUUUAGAACGUCGUGAGACAGUUCGGUCUCUAUCCGCCGCGCGCGUAAGAAACUUGAGGAAACCUGUCCCUAGUACGAGAGGACCGGGACGGACGAACCUCUGGUGUGCCAGUUGUUCCACCAGGAGCACCGCUGGUUAGCUACGUUCGGAAGGGAUAACCGCUGAAAGCAUCUAAGCGGGAAGCCUGUUCCAAGAUGAGGUUUCUCACCACCUAGCGUGGUUAAGGCCCCCCACAGACCAUGGGGUUGAUAGGCCAGAACUGUAAGCACAGCAAUGUGUUCAGGUGACUGGUACUAAUCGGCCGAGGACUUACU
rnacentral:rRNA from 1 species